CUUCACUUCCACGCGGCGCCUCCGUGUCAGGCUCAGUAUGUGUGUGCGCAUGCGUGUGCACGUUUUAGGAAGGCCGUGGUUAUUGCUAACCGAGGGAGAAACUCACCACACCUGCUAUAACGCUCCUCAAGGGAGUGAGGGAAAUGAGGAACAAACAUUACCUACACAUCCAGUAAUCUGAGGGAUAACCGAAGCCAUUAACCAUGGCUCUGGUUAGAUGAACUUUUUUCAGCAACACACGGGACCUACAAUUAUUAGGUUAAAAUCAGCAGGUCACAACCACGUCAUCAGCAGCUGGACAUCGCUGCCUGUGUUCACCUGCCACGCGUAUAUCUUCUUUAGUGAACUGUCUGUUCAAGUCUGCUGCCUCCUUUUUAACUGGGCUGUUCAUUUUCCUACUGUACAGUGGGAAGAAAGAAGAUGAUGGAGAAAGUUUUUUGACCUAAUAUCAGCACUUCUUAGUAUCUGUC
rnacentral:lncRNA from 1 species